GAUGGAAACAAGAUUACUGAUGAAGCAAUUCUAGGUUAUAUUCGGAAGUCUCUGGGGCCAGAAUCAUGCUUUGUAUCUUCUAUGAGAUCUGUUGGGGUUAAACCAUCUAUGGACCACACUGCAAUUGAGCUAACAGGAAGUGACAGACCAGGCCUGCUAUCUGAAGUGUUUGCUGUACUCACCCACCUAAAAUGCAAUGUGGUCAAUGCAGAGGUCUGGACACACAAUACUCGGGCGGCAGCA
rnacentral:misc_RNA from 1 species